rnacentral:rRNA from 1 species
AGCUUGCUCCCUGAUGUUAGCGGCGGACGGGUGAGUAACACGUGGGUAACCUGCCUGUAAGACUGGGAUAACUCCGGGAAACCGGGGCUAAUACCGGAUGGUUGUUUGAACCGCAUGGUUCAAACAUAAAAGGUGGCUUCGGCUACCACUUACAGAUGGACCCGCGGCGCAUUAGCUAGUUGGUGAGGUAACGGCUCACCAAGGCGACGAUGCGUAGCCGACCUGAGAGGGUGAUCGGCCACACUGGGACUGAGACACGGCCCAGACUCCUACGGGAGGCAGCAGUAGGGAAUCUUCCGCAAUGGACGAAAGUCUGACGGAGCAACGCCGCGUGAGUGAUGAAGGUUUUCGGAUCGUAAAGCUCUGUUGUUAGGGAAGAACAAGUACCGUUC